rnacentral:rRNA from 1 species
CCUGAACGCUGGCGGCGUGGCUAAGACAUGCAAGUCGAACGGGCGUAGCAAUACGUCAGUGGCGCACGGGUGAGUAAUGUAUCGCUAACGUGCCCCGGAGUCUGGGAUAGCUGCCCGGAAACGGGCGAGGUAAUACCGGAUGAGACCACGAACAGGCAUCUGUUUGUGCUCAAAGCCGCAAGGCGCUCUGGGAGCGGGCGAUAUCGUAUCAGCUAGUUGGCGGGGUAACGGCCCACCAAGGCUGCGACGCGUAGCUGGUCUGAGAGGACGGCCAGCCACAUCGGGACUGAGACACUG